rnacentral:rRNA from 1 species
GUAACACGUAGUCAACAUGCCCAGGGGACGUGGAUAACCUCGGGAAACUGAGGACAAACCGCGAUAGGUCAUCACUUCUGGAAUGGGUAAUGACUUAAAUCUAUAUGGCCCCUGGAUUGGACUGCGGCCGAUCAGGCUGUUGGUGAGGUAAUGGCCCACCAAACCUGUAACCGGUACGGGCUCUGAGAGGAGGAGCCCGGAGAUGGGCACUGAGACAAGGGCCCAGGCCCUAUGGGGCGCAGCAGGCGCGAAACCUCUGCAAUAGGCGAAAGCUUGACAGGGUUACUCUGAGUGAUUUCCGUUAAGGAGAUCUUUUGGCACCUCUAAAAAUGGUGCAGAAUAAGGGGUGGGCAAGUCUGGUGUCAGCCGCCGCGGUAAUACCAGCACCCCGAGUGGUCGGGACGUUUAUUGGGCCUAAAGCAUCCGUAGCCUGUUCUGCAAGUCCUCCGUUAAAUCCACCUGCUUAACGGAUGGGCUGCGGGGGGUACUGCAGAGCUAGGAGGCGGGAGAGGCAAACGGUACUCAGUGGGUAGGGGUAAAAUCCUUUGAUCUACUGAAGACCACCAGUGGCGAAGGCGGUUUGCCAGAACGCGCUCGACGGUGAGGGAUGAAAGCUGGGGGAGCAAACCGGAUUAGAUACCCGGGUAGUCCCAGCUGUAAAC